rnacentral:lncRNA from 1 species
GCUGUAGAGUCUAAUUAUUACUACUGGUUAAAUAUUACUUCACUGCUUCAAAUUAAUCAUUAUAAAGCCUUUUUCCACAUUAAUAGCAACCUUGUAAUGUAGAAGUCCCCCGUAUAUGACACCAAAAUCGAUGAAACUUUUAAAUAAAAAUAUCUGUAGUAUAUUAGUUAUUGCUAUUGCAGGAGCAUCUAAAUAUUUACAAUAGUAUUCUUGUAUGAGAGACUUUCUCAAGAUUUCAUCUGUAGCCAAAAGCAAAUCAAAUUUCUUGCACGAUAGUUCUUCUGAAUGCAUCUAGUACAUUCUCUCUGAUUCUUCUCCUUCCGAUGUAAGUGAGCAGAGUUUAGUGGAGUUGAGAAGGCAGCCACAGUCAGUCCAUUUCCAGAACUCCUGCUCAUUACAAUGAUCACAUUUUGUGAGUUUGAUUAUCUUCAUGGAAUCUAUCAGAAUGUUGAAGAUUUUCAGUACUCCUGCUCUCAUCAGAUGCACAAAAUUACCUCGAAGUUCGCACACAUAAACACAACCCCCACACCCCUGUGGGUUAGCCUCCAGAUUAAAAGAUUUAAAACAAUGUCCAACAUCUCAGAAGCCUCUCUUGUACCCACUCCAAGUAAGUUAAUACUCCCAACCCCAACAGUAACUACUGUUUUGAUUAUUACCAGACUCAAGUCCUUUUCAAACUUGCCUUAUCUACAUAUGUAUACAUUUAAAAAAUAUGAAAUGGACAAAUGCAUACUCAUUAAUCAUCUUAA